rfam:Danio rerio chromosome 10, GRCz11 reference primary assembly.
AUCCACAGCCAUAUAACCUUGCAGCCCAAGACCAGUUACUCACUGAAGAGAAGCAGGGCUGAGCCUGGUCAGUACCUGGAUGGGAAACCACAUGGUAAAAGUAGGCUGCUGUUGGAA